AAAAAAAUUUCGAAAUUCAACAAUUGAUUAGCAACUUUUAUAUUUCCAUUCGAAACAAAAUUAUCAGGGCUAUUCGUGAAUUGUGAUACUCGACCGAGAGAAGUCUAUACCUUUCAAUCAAGUCAACACUUCUAAUCCUCUUGUCGCUGAUGAGGAUGCUCUUAUUCAGCGUCGAUCCAAAAAACAAAUUGGUGGAUUCAUUUAAUCAAAAGUUUAACCAGAACCCAAGGGAAGGGUAGUGAACCCCAACAGAGCCAUUUGCCUUAUUUUCUGGAUAUACCAUUGAGAACAAUAAGUAUAUCAAGUCCGCCACUUGGCGCAGGAGCUGUUGGUGAUGCUGAUCCAUGGAACUCCUCUCCAGCUAGAGCUGCAAAGUCAACUCUUUGUUGAGUUUUAUUUAGCAACUUGUGCUCUCUGAUCCUUGGUCAGGUACAUCGUACAUCGUCACCACAAAUCGAUGCUUGACAUGCCAAUGUUCCUUAAGCAUCUGGUGGUGCUGCUGGUGGUGUUGAAGGAUGUCUCACACAAUAUACUCAAUCACCAUCUGUAGCUUCUGGUUCCUUCUGACUGCAGAGCAACAUCUUUCAAAUGAUACCAUGAAUGGCAAUUCAUCAACCUCACUAUAUCUGAUCCUUGGUUAUCGAAAACUUCAGCUAUAGGAGCAGCAACUGCUGCAUCUCCACCGUCUCUACCAUUAGUUCAAAAUACCAGACCAGUAGUGGUUCGGGUGAUCCUUCGCUGCUUGUAUAUGUAUAUGAAGCAAAAUCAUUAGAAAAAUCAUCAUCAAGAUCCUUGGGCACCAAAAGCUCAACCAAUCUCUGCUAAUAAUGGUGAUCCAUGGAGGAGAACUAGAAAUGAGGCAUCGUCAGUGGCAAAUGUUUCACCUGAUUUGGAUGACUGAUAUAAAUACGAAUAGAGUGGAGACUACACGACACUUGGCCCAAACAUUAACAAUUCAUCACUUUUGGAUAAAUUGGAUCCAUUAUCAACAAGAAACCAUCAUUGAAAAAACCGCAAUCGUUCUUGGGUCAAAAGUCAGCGUUAGUGAAUUUGGACAAUUUAGUUAAACCAAUUGCGACGAGCAAUACAAUUGGCAGUGUAGCUUCCAGCGUACAAUAAAUUUAGUGAUACAAUUGCACCUAAAAAAAUCUAGUGUAACGUCGUCAGUACUAUAAUUGCCUUUGUUAAUCGCAAUAGUACCAACUGAGCGCAGAUCGAGGAGGCAGCUUUGCCCACAUGACUCAUCACAUCAGUUCAAGUUUCGAAGGAUUUGAACCAUCGGGUAGCAUACGUAUGUACUUCGUCGAUUAAAACACCAAGUAUUGAUUCCAGUGAAAUCGUAUCUACUCAGUAAGUGGAUUCCAUAUCUACUCCCGAUAUAUGGAACAAGUCUAGGACAGGAGACACGUUUGGAAGCUCGAACUCAUCACCAAAGACUGAGCAUUGUUUUGUCAAAGUAAACACAAGAGUAAUCCAUUACUCGAAGACUUGCUCACUUGCAGGAAAUCACUACUCAUGUAUAUCAAAUGAAUGACUUCAAAGAAUUACUAUGCUUGAGAGUAUUCAAAAUACUUGCCUGUAUAAAACCAAAUCGAUUUAGAACAUCCAAGUGAGAGCGAUAUAAAUCUGGCGAGCCAUAUAGAAUAAAAAGCAGUUCAUCUUCCUGUAUUUUCACAGACAAUUUCGCUUCAGACAUUCAAUUUCGAAAACUGGAUUCUCUACUUAUUGUUGAGAAAUAUGUUAAAGAUCUUUUAUUGAAUUUCAUAAUUAGAAGUAACAGGACAUUGGCUUAUAAAUGAGUUUAGCGUGUGCUUAUUUUAACAGAAUAAGAUUUAUAUUAUAUUUUUGUACAAGGUCAAUACAUAUUUUUUUCAUCUCUAUUUUUAAAAUAUGCAAUGUUACAAAUAGUGUUCUUUUUUAUUAAUAAAUGGUACAAAACCUAGAGUAUUAUCAAACUUA